rnacentral:rRNA from 1 species
UACGUAGGGUGCGAGCGUUGUCCGGAAUUAUUGGGCGUAAAGAGCUCGUAGGCGGUCUGUCGCGUCGGUCGUGAAAACUUGGGGCUUAACCCUGAGCUUGCGGUCGAUACGGGCAUGACUGGAGUUCGGUAGGGGAGACUGGAAUUCCUGGUGUAGCGGUGAAAUGCGCAGAUAUCAGGAGGAACACCGGUGGCGAAGGCGGGUCUCUGGGCCGAUACUGACGCUGAGGAGCGAAAGCCAGGGGAGCAAACGGG